GGAACGCGUGUACACAUGGAGAACAAGGGGGAAUCUGAUUCCCAGGUUGGAGAGGCGAAAUCAACUUCUGUUUUAGCUAAAAACCGAUUGAUUGCAAAGUCUGGUGGCAAAAUAGCCUGCACAGUAUUGACUACACAGGCUACGCGGUCUCACCAAAUCUGAAAAAUGAUGAUUGAACCUUUGACUCUACAAAAAAAAAUGCAGAACAAUCUCAAAUCCUAUCAACCAAUCACCUACUGUAUCUUUGAACCCUAUGUAUGUUUCGCUAUCAACCCCCGUUGCUAUGUUCCCAACUUAUUACAAUUUCAUUCAAGCGAAAAAAACGGUGAAAGAUUGCUGAGCCUCGUGGCGUCGUCUUCUCUGAUUCCGCCGAGAAAGCGAGCUGCUUUUCCUUGCUCCCGCCGUCAGAGUUCAAUUGAAGGCGAACCUGGGGCCGGCGGCGGCGCUGCUACUGCUGCUGCGGUGGAGGAGGUUGUGGGCGAUGUUGUCGCGCGCGGCGACGGCCGCCGUGGAGCGCACGGGGUUCUCGGCCACCAUGUCGUCGUCGAAGAGCUGGAACGCGAUGUCGGGGUCGACGGCGUCUCCGGCGCGCUCGCAGAUGUUGUGGAGGACGCAGCAGGCGCCGAGCACGACGGGGAGGUCCUGCAGCUUCACCUCGGUGCGCUUCUGGAGGCAGCCCCAGCGGGACUUGAGGCGCUGGAAGGCGUCCCUGGCCACGGCGCGCACGCCGUCCACCCGCUCGUUGAACACGUGCUGCGCCCACGUCAUGUUGUGGUGCGUGUAGGGCACCAGCAGCCAGUCCAUGAGCGGGUACCCGGCGCCGCCCACCAGGCGCUGCCCCUGCAGCAGGCCCGCGGCGCCUCGCUGCAGGUAGAGCGCGGAGCGGUCGAGCACGUCGGCGUCGGACAUGGAGCCCGGCCAGCCGAUGCAGACGUCCGUGAAGGCACCGCCCGCGUCCACGACGCCCUGCACCGUGAUGGAGUAGGACGUCUUCUGGUUGCGCUCCGUGUGGCGGCGGUUGUAGUAGGCGGCGACGUUGGCCUUGGGCGCGAUGAUGGGGAUGUGCGUGGUGUACAUGGCGCCCACGACGCCCGGGAUCCCCGACGCGGCCUCGAACCUGGCGGACUCGGCCGCGGCGGCGUCGGGCGCCUCGGGCCACUGCACGGCCUUGGGCAUGAGCACGGCCUUGAUGGCGGCGCAGACCUCGAGGACGAGCUUGUGGCAGGUGGAGAUGCCGAGGCCGAAGCGCUUGGACACGAGGCGGAGCGGCUCCCCGGUGGCGAGGCGCCAGAUGCAGACGGCCACGCGCUGGCGGACGGGGAUGGCGGCGCGCAGCAUGGUGUCCUCCUUGGCGACGGCGGCGCCCAGCUCCUCGCACACGGCCUCGAAGGUGGCCCGGGACAUGCGGAAGGCGCGGCGGAACUCGUCGUCGGGGCACGCGGGGCUGCUCAUCCGGUCCCACCACUCGUGGUCGCGCUCCUUGACCCAGAGGCGGCGGCCGCCGCCCCUGCCUCCGCCACCGCCGCCGGCUGCGGCUGCGGCUGCGGCUGCGGACGUGUGCUCGUAGUCGCCGUCAUUGCUGCCGGCGCUGUUCUCCCGGGAGCUGCUGGUCGGGGAGCGCUGCCUCUUGACCCCGGACGCCUCCCCUUCCAGGAGCUGGUACUCGGCGCUCCUCUUCCUGGGGUCCGCCAUCGCCACCGGCGCCUGGAACGCCGGCAGCGCCGCCGCCUGCUCCUCGCCGCACAGGUGUGUGAACCAGGACGUGAGGUCGUCUCCGGCGGGCAGGUCUAACAAGGAGCCGAACUGCGCCUCGGUGUACGAGGUGCUCAUCUAGGUGAGGCCGGUGGAGGAUGCAGGGGAGGACUGAUCUCGAUGUUCUUCUGUUCUAGAAGUAGAAGCUCUGAGUUCUGGAUGUUCUGAGUCUGGUUGGUGUGGUGAUCGAGCUUGCGCUGCGCUGUGCUGUCCAAGAUGUCGAGGUU
rnacentral:lncRNA from 1 species